rnacentral:lncRNA from 1 species
AAGGCCGCCAAAAGGGCCAGGACUCCUCGCGAGAUAAAUCCUGAAAGCGACGAGGAGGUACUUCCUGAGGUAAACCCACAAACGAUUCCUUCAACUGAACCCACAACAACCUCUGAACCAACCCUACCAACUUCUGAACCAAUUCUACCAACUUCUGAACCAAAUCUAAGAAAGAGGAGUCUCCUUGACAUUCCUCCACACGAUCGGGCGAAAGUCCUUCGUGCUAAAAAAUUGAGAAGCAAAAUAAUUCCUCUUACUGCCGACGAACUCCGCGUUCCCCCUCCUUCAACAUCCAGCCCAUUAAAUGAAACCCCAACACCUAGCGCUGAGCAGGUCGAAGCCGACCCUUCUCCGUCCCGAAAAAGAAAACAGCCUUCGGACGGUCAGCUCGGUUCGACUUCUGAACCUUCUUCAACUCCUGAGCCAAUGCCAGCUCGAUCACCUUCUCCAGAGGCAAUGCAUGCGGAUCCUUCACCGGUUCGCAGUCAGCCUAUGCCUCCUCCUCAAGGAUCAAUGACAUCCGAAUUUCAGCAUGAUGCCAUGGGUUCACCGACUAUAUGGCCUCGGUUCAAUGCCAAUUUCCCCUUUCAACUGUUUGAGGCCUUUGUUCGUGAGACCGAUGACCAUCGGUUCGGGAACAGUUCAAACGGGGAUUUGCUCAGCGAAGGCAUGAGCUACUUGGCUA